rnacentral:rRNA from 1 species
UUCUAUGGCCAUACCAUCCUGAACAUGUCUGAUCUUGUCUAAUGUCAGAAACUAAGCGGGGUGGGGCAUAGUUAGUACUUAGGUAAGAGAAACUGUGCAGUGGAAG